GUUGAACGCUGGCGGCGUGCCUAAUACAUGCAAGUCGAGCGAACAGACGAGGAGCUUGCUCCUCUGACGUUAGCGGCGGACGGGUGAGUAACACGUGGAUAACCUACCUAUAAGACUGGGAUAACUUCGGGAAACCGGAGCUAAUACCGGAUAAUAUAUUGAACCGCAUGGUUCAAUAGUGAAAGACGGUUUUGCUGUCACUUAUAGAUGGAUCCGCGCCGCAUUAGCUAGUUGGUAAGGUAACGGCUUACCAAGGCGACGAUGCGUAGCCGACCUGAGAGGGUGAUCGGCCACACUGGAACUGAGACACGGUCCAGACUCCUACGGGAGGCAGCAGUAGGGAAUCUUCCGCAAUGGGCGAAAGCCUGACGGAGCAACGCCGCGUGAGUGAUGAAGGUCUUCGGAUCGUAAAACUCUGUUAUUAGGGAAGAACAAAUGUGUAAGUAACUAUGCACGUCUUGACGGUACCUAAUCAGAAAGCCACGGCUAACUACGU
rnacentral:rRNA from 1 species